rnacentral:rRNA from 1 species
CAGUCGCCGCGGUAAUACAGAGGGUGCAAGCGUUAAUCGGAAUUACUGGGCGUAAAGCGCGCGUAGGUGGUUAGUUAAGUUGGAUGUGAAAUCCCCGGGCUCAACCUGGGAACUGCAUUCAAAACUGACUGACUAGAGUAUGGUAGAGGGUGGUGGAAUUUCCUGUGUAGCGGUGAAAUGCGUAGAUAUAGGAAGGAACACCAGUGGCGAAGGCGACCACCUGGACUGAUACUGACACUGAGGUGCGAAAGCGUGGGGAGCAAACAGGAUUAGAUACCCCGGUAGUCCCUGUCUCUUAUAC